rnacentral:rRNA from 1 species
AUUGAACGCUGGCGGCAGGCCUAACACAUGCAAGUCGAACGAGCGGCGGACGGGUGAGUAAUGUCUGGGAAUCUGCCUGAUGGAGGGGGAUAACUACUGGAAACGGUAGCUAAUACCGCAUACCAUCAGAUGGGCCCAGAUGGGAUUAGCUAGUUGGUGGGGUAAAGGCUCACCAAGGCGACGAUCCCUAGCUGGUCUGAGAGGAUGACCAGCCACACUGGAACUGAGACACGGGCCAGACGCCUACGGGAGGCAGCAGUGGGGAAUAUUGCACAAUGGGCGAAAGCCUGAUGCAGCCAUGCCGCGUGUAUGAAGAAGGCCGUCGGGUUGUAAAGUACUUUCAGCGGGGAGGCGUUACCCGCAGAAGAAGCACCGGCUAACUCCGUGCCAGCAGCCGCGGUAAUUC